GGUGAAGCAUAUGCUUUCACAACAUGCUGUGCAGAUAACGAAGCUGCGUUUGUUUUCACGUGGUACACAACAUUCACUGUAAUCUGUUUUUGAUUCUAAAGAAGUGCCAAAGGCCACCUCUUUUUCAAGGACGUCAUGGAAAUAUUUGGCGAGACCUUUUUACAGCCCCUCAUAAUGGAAGUGUGGCCAGUCAGCUUUGCUUGGAUGCCUUUAUAGAUUUCUCUUCCUGAUCAUUGUGUGCUAUCAAAUUGCUAAAGUCUAUUUAACCGGUGCAGUGCAUUACGUGAUCCUAUAGUCGGAUAGAACUUUAGGAGACCGCGGAAUCUGCACUUCAAAGGCAAGUGAACACAAGCCUGCACCAAUGGGCACACACUCUAGAGUGACGUCGUGCCGCCGGACACACUAUACCCGCUCAUUGGAGAGGGAAUAUUUCUUUAGACGUGGAGGCAAUCGGGCUGCUGCGCUUUGGUUAUCUGGGCGGAGCCUCUCCUGCCUUCUGAAGUUGUAUCCCACUGUAGAGGAUGCCGCUUUUCGUACAACCCAAAAGGGCAAAGUGUGCAAUUAUUUUGCCUAUGGAACGGAUACAUCACAAGUGAGCUAUGCAAGAGCUUAAGCUGUGCAAGCUGUGUGAAAAUUAGUACGUAACAUGCAAAUAUAUGACAUUGUUAAAGACUAUGUGGUAUUGUACAUGCCUGUAAUAGCACGUUUGAAUCGGGGAGUGUUGCAUUCAUAUGCACAGUGUAUGUGAUAGCAUUAUUAAGCUCCUGCAGUGGUUCCUGUCUUUUCAUUGUGAAUUACACACACCGUUCAUCUAGUUGCUAAUCAACAUGCACUGUAUUCUUGCAGAUAGAAAAAACAAACAGCACAAUGACGUGUAUGCUGCAUUAGUGCAUUUUUCAUUUACAUGGUCCAAGGGUGGCACAGGUUGUCUUACAUUUUUGCCCAUUUUGAAGAGACACCAAGUGCGUUUUACAUGUGUCCUGAUUAUGCACAGCACAAUGUUUACUGCAAUAAUUUUAUGGAUGCUCUUGAAUAAUAAACAAAAUAAUAAACUGAAAGCUC
rnacentral:lncRNA from 1 species